rnacentral:rRNA from 1 species
UACGGGGGGUGCGAGCGUUGUCCGGAAUCACUGGGCGUAAAGGGCGCGUAGGUGGCCUGAUAAGGGUGUGGUGAAAGUCCGGGGCUCAACCCCGAGUCGGCCGUGCGAACUGGGCUCACUGGAGCAUAGUAGAGGCAGGUGGAAUUCCGGGUGUAGCGGUGGAAUGCGUAGAGAUCCGGAAGAACACCGGUGGCGAAGGCGGCCUGCUGGGCUAUGGCUGACACUGAGGCGCGACAGCGUGGGGAGCAAACAGG